CAAAGAGUGAUAUCCAGAGCUCUGCUGGAGCUGUGGGGAAGUUCAUGAAUGUUAUAGUUGAUGUUUCAGAAAAAAGGAAGAUGUUUGAGAACCAACAAAACACAGACCACAGAUGAACAAAGUGAUGUGGCAUUAGGAGGACUUUAUACCAGAUGCCCUCCCUGUUACUGUGUUUAGAGGAAGAAAAGCAGCACAUGGCAGAGACCAGAGCUUCUUCACUGGAAUAAAUCUUCACACUGUCCAGCUCCAAACUGUGUAUCUCUGUCCCUGUGCUCUCUUUGUGUUUGAUUCUGUUUAAGACAAUACAGAUCUGUAGAAAACUAAA